AUUGAACGCUGGCGGCAGGCCUAACACAUGCAAGUCGAACGAGUGGCGGACGGGUGAGUAAUGUCUGGGAAACUGCCUGAUGGAGGGGGAUAAAUACUGGAAACGGUAGCUAAUACCGCAUACCAUCGGAUGUGCCCAGAUGGGAUUAGCUAGUAGGUGGGGUAAAGGCUCACCUAGGCGACGAUCCCUAGCUGGUCUGAGAGGAUGACCAGCCCCACUGGAUCUGAUACACGGUCCAGCCUCCUACGGGAGGCAGCAGUGGGGAAUAUUGCACUAUGGGCGCAAGCCUGAUGCAGCCAUGCCGCGUGUAUGAAGAAGGCCUUCGGGUUGUAAAGUACUUUCAGCGGGGAGGCGUUACCCGCAGAAGAAGCACCGGCUAACUCCGUGCCAGCCGCCGCGGUAAUUC
rnacentral:rRNA from 1 species